CCUACGGGUGGCAGCAGUGAGGAAUAUUGGUCAAUGGGCGUAAGCCUGAACCAGCCAAGUCGCGUGAGGGAUGAAGGUUCUAUGGAUCGUAAACCUCUUUUAUAAGGGAAUAAAGUGUGGGACGUGUCCUAUUUUGUAUGUACCUUAUGAAUAAGGAUCGGCUAACUCCGUGCCAGCAGCCGCGGUAAUACGGAGGAUCCGAGCGUUUUCCGGAUUUAUUGGGUUUAAAGGGUGCGUAGGCGGCCUUUUAAGUCAGCGGGGAAAGUCUGUGGCUCAACCAUAGUAUUGCCGUUGAAACUGGUGGGCUUGAGUGGGUGUGAAGCAGGCGGAAUGCGUGGUGUAGCGGUGAAAUGCUUAGAUAUCACGCAGAACCCCGAUUGCGAAGGCAGCAUGCCGGGCCAUGACUGACGCUGAUGCACGAAAGCGUGGGGAUCGAACAGGAUUAGAUACCCGUGUAGUC
rnacentral:rRNA from 1 species